ACACUGUCCCGUUCCACUUCUCUUCUUCUCUCCUUAUUGUCCCAAUUUUCCCUUUGUCCCAAAAGUUCCUUAAACCCUAGCCCUAAUCUCUUCAUCCCCUUUCUUUCUGGUAAAUGCCCUAAAAGAUUUUCCCAAUCUCCAUGCUCUAACAAAAGAAAAAAAAUCCCCUCGCACCCCAAAAAAGGAGACGGAAAAAAUGAUUCAUUUAAUUCCUUCCGUAUUUCUUUACUUCAUUUUCAUCUUCACGAUUGUGAACGGCGAGCAGGAUUCUAUUUACGAGAUCCUAAAGGCUCAUGGCCUGCCCAUGGGGCUACUUCCGAAGGGGAUAACCCAAUUUGACUUCGACGAUACGGGCCGGUUCGAGGUUCAUUUGGAUCAGGCCUGUAAUGCCAAGUUUGAAAGCGAGUUGCAUUACGAUCGGAAUGUGUCAGGGACUUUGAGUUACGGGCAGAUCGGGGCGUUGUCAGGGAUUACGGCGCAAGAAUUGUUUCUUUGGUUCCCGGUUAAAGGGAUCCGGGUCGAUAUUCCGAGCUCGGGUCUUAUUUAUUUUGACGUCGGUGUCGUUUUUAAGCAAUUUUCUUUGUCGUUGUUCGAAACGCCAAGGGAUUGUAUGGCGGUUUUGGAUUUUGAACCGGGUAAUUCAAUUCGAGAUCGCAAGUUUGUAGCUGAAGCAAUCGCCAAGAGUCUACCUGCGAAGCUACGAUAUGAGUUCGUUCAGGAAAGUUUUGGGAGGAAUGAGAUUUAGAAAGGUGGAGAAAAGAAGUGCAAUAGCUCAAUCAGUUUAGCUCUCAAAGGUUUUUUUGGGGUCAGGUCCCCACGCUGUAAAUUUUCGUCGGAGAGUCUGCUCUAGGAGGUCGUUACGCUUCCAUCCUGUGUGCUUCGCUUGCGUUUUUUCUUAUUCUAUAUAGUGCAGAGUCGUCCACAUGCCUAGUCCAGCGGCUCCUGUCUAUGUGAGGAUGGCCAGUGACGCGGAAAUGGAAGGUUGGGAAGCUAUAUUUUCGAUGAUAAUCAUGGUUGGUUUACCCUAUGGAAGAUAAAAGGAGAUGGGAGCAUUUGGUCGGCGAUUUCAGGGUUGUCAAAACUUAGCAAAGUUAGUGAACUUUGGGUAUCUACCGAAUGGCGGGUGAUGCCUUAUGUUUAUUUUCUACACAUGCAAUGAAGCAGUGAGAGGCUUUCAAAGUAGCUGUUUUAGUAUCUAAGUUAUUAGAUUUUGGAUUUGUUAGUAUCCAGAAUCAGAGAGUCACUGCAUACACGGUAUACUUCAGUACAAGGUUCUGUAGCUUGGAGCUUGGUGAGAUUUUCUGAGUGUAUUAAGUGUAUAAUUUGUCUCUUCUUCAUCCUUAAUUGUCAAUUUCCCCUUUAUGUAAAAGCAUGUAGAUUGUCAUAUGAAAUACUGUCUGGAUGUAUGCCAAUCUUAUAAGCAGUCAUUUCUUGGCCUUGAAUAACUUGACAGUGAUAUGUUGAACAA